CCUACGGGUGGUAGCAGUGGGGAAUAUUGCACAAUGGGGGGAACCCUGAUGCAGCGACGCCGCGUGAGGGAAGAAGUAUUUCGGUAUGGAAAGCUCUAUCAGCAGGGAAGAAGAUGACGGUACCUGACUAAGAAGCCCCGGCUAACUACGUGCCAGCAGCCGCGGUAAUACGUAGGGGGCAAGCGUUAUCCGGCUUUACGGGGUGUAAAGGGAGCGUAGGCGGCAGGGCAAGUCUGGAGUGAAAGCCCGGGGCCGAACCCCGGGACUGCGUUGGAAACUGCCAUGCUGGAGUGCUGGAGAGGUAAGCGGAAUUCGUAGGGUAGCGGUGAAAUGCGUAGAUAUUAGGAGGAACACCAGUGGCGAAGGCAGCUUACUGGACAGUAACUGACGUUGAGGCUCGAAAGCGUGGGGAGCGAACAGGAUUAGAUACCCGUGUAGUC
rnacentral:rRNA from 1 species